GUGGGGGACAGCAAGUCAAAAAAAUUAUCACUUCAGCUUGGAUGUCAGGAGAGACUGAGAAAAUUCUGACAUACACAGCCAAGCCAUCUUUUCAGUUAAAAAAUUCUACAUUUCCCACUGGAAAACAGAACACUGAUCAAUGCUGAAGGUUUCAAUCAACACUUAUUAACCCUCAAAACCCUAACUGCUGAAACACAGAGCUUGGAAGUGUUUAUUCAGCCAGUUAUGGUGGGGAAAUUAUGGGGAAACAGGAAGAAAUAUAGCUCAUAUCUCAGAUAACUUCACUUUUGAUCUACAGUUUUUUACAGCUAAGUGCCAGAAGAGGACAAUAAUAUUUAAUGAGAAAUCACAUGAGACAAGGAAAUGAAAUAAUGUGGGAAGCAGUGCCAGUUUAUCAGCAGCGGUGUACAAACGUGUAGCUCUCCUGGAGUUGAGCUGAGUUGAAGUUUUCCUGAACUGAGUUAUUUACAUCAGUCAAAACUAAAGGCUUUGAGGUUUUUUGUUUGGCUCGUUGCUUUGGUUUG